GAUGAACGCUGGCGGCGUGCCUAAUACAUGCAAGUCGAGCGAACGGACGAGAAGCUUGCUUCUCUGAUGUUAGCGGCGGACGGGUGAGUAACACGUGGAUAACCUACCUAUAAGACUGGGAUAACUUCGGGAAACCGGAGCUAAUACCGGAUGAUAUUUUGAACCGCAUGGUUCAAAAGUGAAAGACGGUCUUGCUGUCACUUAUAGAUGGACCCGCUCUGCAUUAGCUAGUUGGUAAGGUAACGGCUUACCAAGGCAACGAUGCAUAGCCGACCUGAGAGGGUGAUCGGCCACACUGGACCUGAGACACGGUCCAGACUCCGACGGGAGGCAGCAGUAGGGAAUCUUCCGCAAUGGGCGAAAGCCUGACGGAGCAACGCCGCGGGAGUGAUGAAGGUCUUCGGAUCGUAAAACUCUGUUAUUAGGGAAGAACAUAUGUGUAAGUAACUGUGCACAUCUUGACGGUACCUAAUCAGAAAGCCACGGCUAACUACGU
rnacentral:rRNA from 1 species